CCUGAUGACAAUAGCAGUCUGGAACCACUCCUUCCCAUCCCGAACAGGACAGUGAAACGGACUCGCGCCAAUGAUAGUGCGGAUUCCCGUGUGAAAGUAGGUCAUCGUCAGGCUCCUAUUGAAAACCCCCCUCAGGUCGUCCCUGUGGGGGGUUUCGCUUUGCUGAUAUGCCGGAU
rnacentral:rRNA from 1 species